rnacentral:rRNA from 1 species
UACGGUAGGGGGCUAGCGUUGUUCCGGAUUUAUUGGGCGUAAAGAGCGUGUAGGCGGCCAGGUAGGUCUGGUGUGACAACUCGAGGCUUAACCUCGAGAUGUCAUCGGAAACCAUCUGGCUAGAGUCCGGAAGAGGAGAGUGGAAUUCCUGGUGUAGCGGUGAAAUGCGCAGAUAUCAGGAAGAACACCAAUGGCGAAAGCAGCUCUCUGGGACGGUACUGACGCUGAGACGCGAAAGCGUGGGGAGCAAACAGG